UAUGUGCUCCCUCCGUUCGGAAAUACUUGUCAUCAAAAUGAAUAAAAAAAUAUGUACCUAGACUUAUUUUAGUUUUAGAUACAUCCUUUUUUCUUCAUUUUGAUGACAAGUAUUUUCGGACGGAGGGAGUAGGAU
rfam:Triticum aestivum genome assembly, contig: Triticum_aestivum_CS42_TGACv1_scaffold_321045_4BL